rnacentral:lncRNA from 1 species
UUGACAUUGAUAAAUUUUAAUCAUAAAUUAUAUACUUCAGAGCCUUUUGUAUUAGCAAAUCAAAUGGAGCAAGUAUGGUAUACAAAAGAUUCAAAAGAAAGUAGAUGGCAUGUAGUUAGAAAGACAAAGCCAAGGGAUUACUUUGACAUAAACGAGGACUUUAAUGAUACUGAUGAGGGGUUGGAAAUUGAGCAACAAAUAGAUCUCCAUACUAGCAAUUAUGAUAAUGAGAUUGAUGU